AUUGAACGCUGGCGGCAGGCCUAACACAUGCAAGUCGAACGAGUGGCGGACGGGUGAGUAAUGUCUGGGAAACUGCCUGAUGGAGGGGGAUCACUACUGGAAACGGUAGCUAAUACCGCAUACCAUCGGAUGUGCCCAGAUGGGAUUAGCUAGUAGGUGGGGUAAAGGCUCACAUAGGCGACGAUCCCUAGCUGGUCUGAGAGGAUGACCAGACAAACUGGAACUGAGACCCGGUCCAGACUCCGACGGGAGGCAGCAGUGGGGAAUAGUGCACAAUGGGCGAAAGCCGGAUGCAGCCAUGCCGCGUGUAUGAAGAAGGCCUUCGGGUUGUAAAGUACUUUCAGCGGGGAGGAGUUACCCGCAGAAGAAGCACCGGCUAACUCCGUGCCAGCAGCCGCGGUAAUUC
rnacentral:rRNA from 1 species